GAUGAAGAACGUAGCGAAAUGCGAUACUUGGUGUGAAUUGCAGAAUCCCGUGAACCAUCGAGUCUUUGAACGCAAGUUGCGCCCGAAGCCAUCAGGUUGAGGGCACGUCUGCCUGGGCGUCACAUAUCGUUGCUCGAUGCCUAUCGCAUUGCGAUAGGACUUAGGGCGAAUGAUGGCUUCCCGUGAGCGUUGUUGCCUCGCGGUUGGUUGAAAAUCGAGUCCUUGGUAGGGUGUGCCAUGAUAGAUGGUGGUCGAGUUAGCACGAAACCGAUCAUGUGCAUGCUCCCCAAAAUAUGGCCUCUGUGACCCACACGCGUCUUUUGACGCUCAUGACGAGACCUCAGGUCAGGCGGGGCUACCCGCUGAAUUUAAGCAUAUCAAUAAGCGGAGGA
rnacentral:misc_RNA from 1 species